GGCUCGGUAGCUCAGUUGGUAGAGCAGCGGACUGAAAAUCCGUGUGUCGGCGGUUCAAUUCCGUCUCGAGCCACCA
rnacentral:tRNA from 1 species